rnacentral:rRNA from 1 species
UACAGAGGUGGCAAGCGUUGUUCGGAAUUACUGGGCGUAAAGGGCGCGUAGGCGGCCUUCUAAGUCAGACGUGAAAUCCCCCGGCUUAACCUGGGAACUGCGUCUGAUACUGGGAGGCUUGAGUAUGGGAGAGGGAUGUAGAAUUCCAGGUGUAGCGGUGAAAUGCGUAGAUAUGUGGAGGAAUACCGAUGGCGAAGGCAGCCCCCUGGGAUAACACUGACGCUCAUGCACGAAAGCGUGGGGAGCAAACAGG